UACGACUACAUAUCAGGCAUAUCAAUAAGCGGAGGAAAAGAAACUAACAAGGAUUCCCUUAGUAACGGCGAGUGAAGCGGGAAGAGCUCAAAUUUGAAAUCUUCAAGGUUCUACCUUGACGAAUUGUAGUUUAAAGAAGUGUUUUCUGUUGGAGUUUUGGUAAAAGUUCUUUGGAAUAGGACAUCAUAGAGGGUGAGAAUCCCGUAUUUGACCAUUAUUUCCAACUUUGUGAUACACUUUCAAAGAGUCGGAUUGUUUGGGAAUGCAGUCCAAAAUGGGUGGUAAAUUUCAUCUAAAGCUAAAUACUUGGCGAGAGACCGAUAGCGAACAAGUACCGUGAGGGAAAGAUGAAAAGAACUUUGUAAAGAGAGUUAAACAGUACGUGAAAUUGUCAAAAGGGAAGCGUUUGACACCAGUGUUGUUUUCUCGAAAAUCAAUUAAAAAGAAGUUGGAUUUUGUAUUGUUAAGACCUUAUCAGCUUACUGUACUUUUUUCCUUGCUCUUUUUAAUGCACUUUUCGUUUAACAAGUCAACAUCAAUUUCUUUUGUUGUAAAAGAGUCAUUGGAAGGUGGCUUUUCACUUCGGUGAAAGUGUUUAUAGCCUUUGGCUUCUGCAAUCGGAGAGAUUGAGGUCUGCAGCGUAGAUCCUUCGGGGUUAGAUACGUAGAUGCUAAGUUAUAGUUUUUUAUAGACAACUUGUAUACUAUGAUUAAUCAUGUAGCUUACUCGUUUACGCUAUUUUACCUACGCUUAGGAUGUUGAUCUCUCACAGUCGAGC
rnacentral:rRNA from 1 species